rnacentral:rRNA from 1 species
AAUGAACGCUGGCGGCAGGCCUAACACAUGCAAGUCGAACGGAGUGGCGGACGGGUGAGUAACGUCUGGGAAACUGCCUGAUGGAGGGGGAUAACUACUGGAAACGGGCGCUAAUACAGCAUACUAUCAGAUGAGCCUAGGUCUGAUUAGCGAGUUGGUGGGGUAAAGGCCUACCAAGGCAACGCUCCGUAACUGGUCUGAGAGGAUGAUCAGUCACACUGGAACUGGGACACGGUCCAGGCUCCUACGGUAGGCAGCAGUGGGGAAUAUUGGACAAUGGGCGAAAGCCUGAUCCAGCCAUGCCGCGUGUGUAAAGAAGGUCUUCGGAUUGUAAAGCACUUUAAGUUGGGAGGCGUUACCAACAGAAUAAGCACCGGCUAACUUCGUGCCAGCAGCCGCGGUAAUAC